rnacentral:rRNA from 1 species
UACGUAGGGUGCAAGCGUUGUCCGGAAUUAUUGGGCGUAAAGAGCUCGUAGGCGGUUCGUCGCGUCGGCUGUGAAAUCCCGAGGCUCAACCUCGGGUCUGCAGUCGAUACGGGCGGACUGGAGUUCGGCAGGGGAGACUGGAAUUCCUGGUGUAGCGGUGAAAUGCGCAGAUAUCAGGAGGAACACCGGUGGCGAAGGCGGGUCUCUGGGCCGAUACUGACGCUGAGGGAAGCGAAG